GAAACCGCGCGCCGGCCGGCGGCGCCCAGGACUGCCCUGCAGAGCCUUCCCGAGGGGGCGUCGGCUCAGCCCGGCGCUCGGGGCUGCUACGGUGGUUCGGGUCGGAGACCCCUGAGAUCUUAAAGAUUUGUCCAGUGAGAAUUAGGUGCAGACUGUUCCAGAGACAAGGAAACAGUCACUGGGGAGAGAGAAAGUGGAUGUCAGGUUCAGGGACCUGCAGAACGGCCCGUGUGACUAGAGAGUGAGUGGCAGGAGAAAAGACCUUGUGUGCAGCAGAGGCAUCUCAUCACUCACCUGAGUAAACAGCUGGGAUCUUUCUAUUCGGAGAUGAGCCACCAUGCCCCUUACGGUGGAGAGUCCUUGGAGACCCAGAAGAACAUAGACGGCCCCCAGGAGGGCUCUGUGCUGGCAGGCUAAAGACAGAAAUAGCCAUACGGUGGCUGUUAAAGGGAUGAGACUGUGGCGUGCUUUCUUGUGAUAGAUGGUAGGACUCAGCUCGGAAGAAGCUGACUCCAGAUGGGACUUCAGGGAAAACGGGAAGAAACCGUGCCAUUACUCUGCACUUGAAGGAGCAUCUUUGGCCUGACAGGAUAAUGAACACACUUCCUCUCUCAGUCAGGUUUACUGCGUGGGCCGAGAGAGUGGCAGCUAUGUUGCAUAUUUGUGCCUGGGAUUCUUAGGGUGGGAGAAGACAACAGUCAAAUCCAGAGGUUAGCUUACACCCAGGGAUCAAAUGGCAAUUUGUCUGGUAGGUUGGUUCUCGCAGAACUGUCUCCAAGAUGAAAAGUUAUUGAUCGGUGGUGUGUAGGACAUUUAUUAGGGAGCUCUCUUAGGACCAAUUCCUGUGGGGGGAAGGAAGGAAGUGGAAUUAAUCCGAAGUCAGCUACAGGCCCAGGAGGUUUUGACAGACUGAUAGAGAGCUCUCAAGCUAGGGUGGGUGUUUGGAGUUCUGUCAGGACAAAGGGACUAAGUCUUCUAGUACCGACUAGGUAUUAGGUGCUAGCUACCCCGGGAAGAGGACAAAGGGACUAAGUCUUCUAGUACCGACUAGGUAUUAGGUGCUAGCUACCCCGGGAAGGGGGCAUUGUCUUGGGGGAAAGCAGCUUAUUCAGCCAAGGCUGGUUCAUCAAGAAGACAGCAGAGGGCUGGGAGAUGGCUCGGUCAGUAAGGUGCUUGCUGUACAAGCAGGAGGUCUUGCUUGGAACCCAUGUGAGCCCAGGCACAGUGCCUAUGACCCCCCCACACACACCCCCCACCCUCCACUGGGGAAAUAGAGACAGGAGGAUCCCUGUAGCCUGCUGACCAAAUAGAUAGUCUACACAAGUAAGGAAACAUACAUAAAUGCCCUUAAAAGACUUCUAUCAGAUCACUCAACCUACAACCCUCUCCAUAGCUGGGGACCAGUCCCUCUGCCCUGAGGGAGCGCCUGUAUUACAAAGUGCAUCUUGUAGUUUAUUCUGUAACUUGGUUGUCAUGAAGUGUGUAACCUGGUCGUCAUAAAGUGUUUUGGGUUUUGGGUUUGAGGUUUCCUCAGUGUAGCCUUAACUGUCAUGAAACUUGCUCUGUAGACCAGGCUGGGCUUGAGCUCAGAGACCCAUCUGCCUCUGCCUCUUGAAUGUUGGGGUCAUUUAAAGGCAAGUGCCACCACCCUGGCCUUUUGACAGGAUCUUAGGUAGACCAGGCUGGUAUGGAAUUUAUACCCUGCCUCUGUCUUUCAAGAGCUGGGAUGGCAGGUAUGUGGUACCAUGUCUGCCUAGUAAAUUUUCAGUUCCUCGACAUCUUCUAAUAAAGUUGACUACAGGAAAAAGAACCACGUUGGUCCAGUGAUUUGAAUUCCCUUCAUAUCCCCCAUUCUUGGGACAUGCUUACCUGGAUUUGACGAAACUCUCCUACUGUAAUGAGAUGCAAGCCAGAGAGAUGGCUCAGUAGAAAAGUGCUUGCUUAUGGGUCCUGAGGACCUGAGUUCAAUGCUUAGGAUCAGCAUGGUCGAGGGAAAGAACCAACUCCUCUGACCUCUACAUCCUGACCAGGACAAUGCAUGCUCAUCUACACAUGUCCAUGUAUACACACAUAAAUGUAAUAAAUCCUUUUAUGAAAU
rnacentral:lncRNA from 1 species